rnacentral:rRNA from 1 species
AUUGAACGCUGGCGGCAGGCCUAACACAUGCCAGUCGAACGAGUUGCGGACGGGUGAGUAAUGUCUGGGAAACUGCCCGGUGGAGGGGGAUAACUCCUGGAAACGGUAGCUAAUACCGCAUACCAUCGGAUGUGCCCAGAUGGGAUUAGCUAGUAGGUGGGGUAACGGCUCACCUAGGAGACGAGCCCUAGCUGGUCUUCGAGGAUGACCAGGCACACGGUAACUUAGACCAGGUCCAGAAUCCUACGGGAGGCAGCAGUGGGGAAUAUUGCACAAUGGGCGAAAGCCUGAGGCAGCCAUGCCGCGUGUAUGAAGAAGGCCUUCGGGUUGUAAAGUACUUUCAGCGAGGAGGCGUUACUCGCAGAAGAAGCACCGGCUAACUCCGUGCCAGCAGCCGCGGUAAUAC